rnacentral:lncRNA from 1 species
GAAAGUUUAAGCAUUUUUAAAGAUGGCAUGGAAAAUUCUUGGAAAGAAAAGUGGGAUUUUGGAAUUUCAAAAAUAAAUGGAGAAAAGUGAAAGGAUAAGAAACCUCCCCUUAAUAGACUAAGAUCUAUUGUAGGAGGAGAUGUUGCCCUUAAUUUCUCUUUUUCCUUUUCUUCCAUUUCUUUUUUUUCAUCUUCUUCCCUUUCUCUCUUUUCUUUCUCUUGUCUUUCUCUCUCCCUCUCUUCUUCUCUUCUCUUUCUAGCUUCAUCUUCUCUUCUCA